ACUUGGAGGCAUAUUUUUCAGGGCCAAAAAAUCGUCUUAUACACCGGCAAAUACGGUACUUAAAACUGGUCAUGAGUAGGGCUGUCUUGAAAACUUCUAAUAGCGGGGAAUGAUUUAUUCUCUUUAUUCGUGUAGCUUUCUUCUUUGUUAGUCCUUUUGCAAGUUUUUUUUUUUUUCAAUAUAAUUGGUUCAUCUUAGCCUGGCUGCUUUUCUUACAUGGUUUGGGGCAUUUUUAUUUGCACUGAUGUCUUUAUGCGUUGUUUAAGAUUAAUUUCUAAUUACAGUCUAUUCGAGAUACUCCAGCCAAAAAUGCACAAAAAUCAAACCAGAAUGGAAAAGACUCAAAACCAUCAACACCAAGAUCAAAAGGUCAAGAAUCGUUCAAAAAACAGGAAAAAACUCCUAAAACACCGAAAGGGCCUAGUUCUGUAGAAGACAUUAAAGCAAAAA